ACAAACCCCAGCAUGCAUCUCGCCGCGCGGGCACGUGACAGCCCGCUCCUCCCUCGGAGGGCGUUAAACCAAUCGGAUCCCGUAUCCUAAUAAAUUAGGAGAGCGUAGCCAAUCAGAGCCAAGUAUGAACAGGGUGGGCCCCCGAAGGCGCGAAGCCGGCGUUGGUCGGAGGCGCGAGGCCGUGACGGUGUGAGGGCGGAGGCCAAGAUGGCGGCAGGAGCGCCCCGGCUGCCAUGUUGCUGGGGCUGGCCCUGCUUCUCGGGGCCGCGCUGGGCUCUGGACGGAGGUUUGGCGAGGAGAGAGGGGGCAGUAGGGCAGCAGUUGGUGACAGAGGGAGCCCGGCACACCGACCAUGCUCGUUGACCCUGCUGGUGUUGCAGGACGCUGGGAGAAGCCUGGAGAAGAAAUGGAUGAAUUCUGAGCACAAGGCAGACCUUGGGAGAUUUAAACUCGCUGCAGGGAGUUUUUACUGAGAUCCAGUGCAAGAUAAAGGUAUGUGGGUGUCAUUCAACAUAUGCUAUGGGAACCAGCUUGAGAGCUGGGGAUUUGCCUUUAUAGAUGUGCAUGGCAAUAGAAGCAUUUUCUCUUUACAAAUGGAGAAAAAUCUAAGUUUGACUACUAAUAUACUCACAGGUAUACAAACGAGUGAAAAUUCUAAAUUUUAUGCUAUCUCCUCACAAUUUGAGCUAUUUAGUACCAAAGGGAAAACUGUGAAACACGAAGAGAAGAUGGACUGCGAUGGGGGAUACGUUAAGAUUUUUUCCCUCACGUUUGGAUCAGAAGAACCUAAGUGGAGAUUCACAUCGCUACAUCGUGUUUGGAUUGGGAUGAACCUGAAUACGUCAUGGACACUAAUGCUGAGAAACCUGAAGAUUGGGCUGAUGCUGUGAAUGGAGAACAGCAUUCAAAAAGGUCAAGAAUCCUCGAAAGUGCUAUGUCUGUCUUGGUUCUUUUUUACCCCGCUUUAAAAAUUCCCUGCCUAAUCUGAUCAAGAACAUGUUGGUGCGUAAAAAUGAAAUCUUAAUAUUGGAAUCUUGAAAAGGAAAGGGACAUAAAGCAGACUGAGGAAGAGCGGGAGAGAGAAGGGGUCACAGAAGAAAAAUACUUUGAACAAUGCUUUUAAGAAAAAGCUUGAGAGAAAAAAAAAAUGUGGAAAGAGUAGAGUAGUGAGGAACACUAUCAAUAAGCAGGAGCUUUAAUUGUUAUUUGAAAGAAGGUCAUGUUAUUUUUACUUAAAUGGCUUAGGGAUUUUUGCAUGUAAGGAUUUUGAUGGUUUGUUACCAGCUUGUGGAAAGCUUUACCAAUAGGGGUUGUAUUAAAGCAGAAUAUUUUUUUUUUAAUUCAACAUUAAAUUUUGUGACUAGUUUCAGUUAUUUUUCAUAAAAAUGCCAUAACAUAGUUAAAUUCUACACAGAAAAGGUUACUAUUUUUAUUAACUGUAUCUUUAACUGCUAAAACAUAUUAAAAACAC
rnacentral:lncRNA from 1 species